GACCCUAGGUCAGGUGGGAUCACCCACUGAGUUUAAGCAUAUCAAUAAGCGGAGGAAAAAAAUUACAAGGAUUUUCCUAGUAACGACGAGGGAAUUGGGAAAAGCCAAACUUGGGAAUCGGACGGCCCCACCAUUCAAAUUGUAGUCUGGAGAAGUGUCCUCAGCGGUGGACCAAGCUCAAGUCCCCUGCAAAGGGCUGCCAGAGAGGGUGAGAGAGCCAUUGUGCUCAGACUCCGCCACAACACGAGGUGUUGUCGGCUAGUGGGGUUGUUUAGGAAUGCAGCCCCAAACAGGUGGUAAAUUCCGUCCAAGGCUAAAUAUGGGCAAGAGAUUGAUAGCGAACAAGUAUCUCGAGGGAAAGAUGAAAAGAACUUUGAAAAAAGAGUCAAAGAGUGCUUGAAAUUAUCAGGACGAAAGUGGAUGGAGGUCGAUGAUACGUCUCGAUCGGAUGCAGAACAAUGAUGAGUCGGUCUGUUGAUCGACACGGGGCAUGGACCAGCACGAAUUGAGGUGGCGACCAAAGCCUGGGUAGUUGAUGUGCUCUUGGAAUGCCAUUGCCCGAUUGUGGCAGACAGCGCAUGCCCUUAGCAUGUCUCGACACCGCACGCUCACAAUGCUAGCCUGUGAGCUCCCCAUUCGACCCGUCUUGAAACAUAGACCAAGAGUCUUACAUGUGUGUGAGUCAACGGGUGAGUAAACCCAUAAGUCGUAAGGAAGCUAAUUGGUGUGAUCCCCCCAAGGGGUGCAACACUGAUCAACCUUGAUCUUCUGAGAAGGGCUUGAGUGCGAGCAUACCUGUUGAGACCUGAAAGAUGGUGAACUAUGCCUGAGUGGAGCGAAGCUAGAGAAAACUCUAGUGGAGGCCGGUAGCGAUACUGAUGUGCAAAUUGUUCAUCUGAAUUGGGUAUAGGGAUGAAUGCCUAAUCGAACCAUCUAACAGUUGGUUUCCUUUAAAGUUUCCCUCAGGAUAGCUAGAGCUCGGGUGCAAGUUCUAUCAGGUAAUGCCAAUGAUUAGAGGCAUCGGGGGUACAACUCCCUCGACCUAUUCUCAAACUUUAUAUAGGUAGGAUGGUGUGGCUACUUUGUUGAGCUGUGCCACGAAAUUGAGAGCUCCAAGUGGACCAUUUUUGGUAAGCAAAACUGGCGAUGCAGGAUUAACCAGAAGCCGGGUUACAGUACCCAACUGCAUGCUAACCAAGAUCCCACAAAGGGUGUUGGUCGAUUAAGGUAGUAGGACAGUGGUCAUGGAGGUUGAAAUUUGCUAAGGAAUGUAACAACUCACUUGGCGAAUCAACUAGCCCUAAAAAUGGAUGCCGCUGAAGCUGUAACUUAUACCUAGCCGUUGGGCAAGCACCAGGCUCCAAUGAGUAAGAGGGCAUGGUGGUCAUGGCAAAACCUUGUGCUCCACCCAAGUGGAAUGGCCGUCGGUACAGAUCUUAGUGGUAGUAGCAAAUAUUCAAAUGGGAAGGCUGAAGAGGGAAAAGGUUCCGUGUGAACGGCACUUGCACACAGGUUAAUCGAUCCUAAGGGUCUAGAAAAGCCCAACAGACAGCGCGUUUCACGCAUGCACCAAAAGGGAAUUGAGUUAAAAUUCUUGGACCAGGAUGGGGCAAUUGGUAGCAAUGUUAGGGAGUCCAAAGAUGUCGACAGGGGCCUAAAAAAGAGUUAUCUUUUCUAUUUAACAACCUGCCCACCCUGGAAACGACUCAGCUGGAGGUAGGGUCCAGCGGCUGGAAGAGCACUGUAUGUCUCGUGGUGUUCUGUGCGCCCCCGACGACCCUUGAAAAUUCAGAGGACCUAGUACCGUCUCUACCCAGUCAUACUCAUUACCGCAUUAGAUCUCCAAGGUGAAUAGCCUCUGGUCAGUGGAACAAUGUAGGGAAUGGAAGUUGGCAAAAUGGAUUCGAAACUUCGAGAAAAGGAUUGGAUCUAAGGCUGGACACGGGGAUCCCAGUCUCGAACCCGUCAACUGUCAAUGGACUGUUCAAGCUGCUUCCAUGGGGAGAGCAUGUCAAUACGUGUCAGUCGGGGGAUGCACUGAGAAUGACUCUUUCAGGAGCCUUCCUCGGCAUCGAACAGUCGACUCGGAACUAGUACGAACAAGGAGAAUCUGACUAUUUAAUUAAAACAAAGCAGUGCGAUGGUCCCAACGGAUGCUCACGCAAUGUGAUUUUUACCCAAUGCUCUGAAUGUCAAAGUGAAGAAAUUCAAUCAAGCGUGGGUAAAUGGCGGGAGUAACUAUGACUUUCUUAAGGUAGCCAAAUACCUUAUCAUCUAAUUAGUGAUGCGCAUGAAUGGAUUAACAAGAUUCACGGUCUCUGUCUACUAUCCAAUGAAACCACAGCCAAGGGAACGGGCUUGGCAGAAUCUACGGGGAAAGAAGACCCUAUUGAGCUUGACUUUAGUCCGACUUUGUGAAAUGACUUGAGAGGUAUAGGAUAAGCGGGUCCAAAAUCAUUGUACAAAUAGCAAAGUUCAAUCGGUAAGAACCUCGUCACAUGUAAACUAUGGUGUACACUUUAGUUUACACUUUACCACAUGACUUUACCCUGUUGGAAAGUUUAAAUUUCAAACUGGUUUCCCAUCCUGUUGACACUUGACAACAAUGCAAGCAUAGAACAUUCUGUUAAAAAUUAUUGUACAAAUUGUAAAGUUCAAUCGGUAAGAACCAUGCUACAUGUAAAUUAUGGUCAACACUUUAGUUUACACUUUUCCACGAGACAUUACCUUGUUGGAUAGUUUAAAUUGCAAAGUUCAAUCGAUAAGAACCAUGCUACAUGUACACUAUGGACAACACUUUAGUUUACACUUUUCCACGUGACAUUACCUUGUUAGACAGUUUAAAUUUCAAACA
rnacentral:rRNA from 1 species